AUUGAACGCUGGCGGCAGGCCUAACACAUGCAAGUCGAACGGUAACAGGAAGAAGCUUGCUUCUUUGCUGACGAGUGGCGGACGGGUGAGUAAUGUCUGGGAAACUGCCUGAUGGAGGGGGAUAACUACUGGAAACGGUAGCUAAUACCGCAUAACGUCGCAAGACCAAAGAGGUGGACCUUCGGGCCUCUUGCCAUCGGAUGUGCCCAGAUGGGAUUAGCUAGUAGGUGGGGUAACGGCUCACCUAGGCGACGAUCCCUAGCUGGUCUGAGAGGAUGACCAGCCACACUGGAACUGAGACACGGUCCAGACUCCUACGGGAGGCAGCAGUGGGGAAUAUUGGACAAUGGGCGCAAGCCUGAUGCAGCCAUGCCGCGUGUAUGAAGAAGGCCUUCGGGUUGUAAAGUACUUUCAGCGGGGAGGAAGGGAGUAAAGUUAAUACCUUGGCUCAUUGACGUUACCCGCAGAAGAAGCACCGGCUAACUCCGUG
rnacentral:rRNA from 1 species